rnacentral:rRNA from 1 species
CUAGUUGGCGGGGUAAUGGCCCACCAAGGCGAUGAUCAUUAGGGGGUCUGAGAGGAUGAUCCCCCACACUGGUACUGAGAUACGGACCAGACUCCUACGGGAGGCAGCAGUAGGGAAUAUUGGACAAUGGGCGAGAGCCUGAUCCAGCCAUGCCGCGUGCAGGAAGAAGGCCCUCUGGGUUGUAAACUGCUUUUGACAGGGGCCAAAAUAUCCAUGCGUGGAGAAUUGAGAGUACCUGUAGAAUAAGCACCGGCUAACUCCGUGCCAGCAGCCGCGGUAAUACGGAGGGUGCAAGCGUUGUCCGGAUUUAUUGGGUUUAAAGGGUGCGUAGGUGGCCUUAUAAGUCAGUGGUGAAAGCCUGCAGCUUAACUGUAGGACUGCCAUUGAUACUGUAGGGCUUGAGUACUGAUGAGGUAGGCGGAAUUGAUAGUGUAGCGGUGAAAUGCAUAGAUAUUAUCAAGAACACCGAUUGCGAAGGCAGCUUACUAAGGAGUUACUGACACUGAGGCACGAAAGCGUGGGGAUCAAACAGGAUUAGAUACCCUGGUAGUCCACGCCAUAAACGAUGAUUACUCGAUGUAUGCGAUAGACUGUAUGCGUCCAAGCGAAAGCGUUAAGUAAUCCACCUGGGGAGUACGACCGCAAGGUUGAAACUCAAAGGAAUUGACG